GAUCAUGGCUCAGAUUGAACGCUGGCGGCAGGCCUAACACAUGCAAGUCGAACGGUAACAGGAAGCAGCUUGGUGCUUUGCUGACGAGUGGCGGACGGGUGAGUAAUGUCUGGGAAACUGCCUGAUGGAGGGGGAUAACUACUGGAAACGGUAGCUAAUACCGCAUAACGUCGCAAGACCAAAGAGGGGGGACCUUAGGGCCUCUUGCCAUCGGAUGUGCCCAGAUGGGAUUAGCUAGUAGGG
rnacentral:rRNA from 1 species